rnacentral:tRNA from 1 species
GGUUUUGUAGUUUAAAAAAAACAUUUGCUUGCAAAGCACAAGAAGGAGUAAUCCCGGAACUU